CUAUGCAGGCGGAGAGGCAGUAUGAAUAGCAAGAAAGCUAAAGCAGAGAGCUGGAGAAUUGGUUUUUGGAGAUAGGAAAAUUUGAGCCUGAAAUAGGAAUAUUGAAACCAACCUCAACCUGAGCUACACAGCUAGAUCUUCUCCUUCUUGUCCUCUUCUUCUUCCUCCUCCUCCUCCUCCUCCUCCUCCUCCUCCUUUUUCUUCUUUAUUCUCCUCCUUCUCCUUCAUGCCAGCCUCCUCCAGAUUGUUCUUAUGCAAUCAAGUCCAGAGCCACUGCGUUAGGGAUUAAAAAGAAAAAGAAGAAGGAACCAGUGAAAAUCAUUAGAUAUUCAGGUCAAAAUUGCAGGUAGGCAGUUGUGAAAUUCUAAACGCACGGCUUGGAAGUCAUGAGUAUCUGGAUGCUGUUGAAAGCCAUGACAUCAUAACCUAAGGAAUGAGUAGAGGACACUGGUGGCCAGCGGGCACUGGGUGAGCAGCAAGAGGAAGCUCUGAAUAUCCAUCCCAGGGGAACACUCAGGUCGGCUGCUGGUACUUCUACAAGACAAUGGAAUGGGAUGUGGAACAACACCGAGGGCCUAACAGCCUGGUCAUUACAAAUCUAAGAAGUCACAUUAAUCAGGAAUUUUCAAGACAACCAUAGGUUAAUUGAGAAAAUCAGUUACUAUUAUUUUUAUUUUUUAAAAAUCUCUUAUUUUUCUCUCCCUUCUUUUUUUUCACUUGUCAUGUUAGGAACUGAACUUAGGUCUCCACAUGUGGCAGAGCAAGUGCUCUACCACUGAGCUAUAGCACCAUCUCCCAAAUUUCUAUUUUUAAAACAUGCAGUCAGAUAUGUAUAAAACUAACUGCACAACUUAAGGAGAAGUAAGAUAAAUAACAGCAUGCUCAUGCUUCAGUUGAAGAAAUAGAACACUGCAAAAACUUAGAAGGCCCAAGGAACCUCCUCCCAAUUACCCUACUCCCCAAGGGUAAUUAUACUGAAAUCUGUACUAAUUAGUCAUUUUUGGUGAUUAUUUUCUUUCUGUAUGUUUAACUGCACAUUUUUUUUUAAAAUUGCAAGUACAGAAACAAAUCUAAAUUAGUUUAUUUUGUGAUUACAUCUUUCUAUCUAAGACUGUAGGACAUGCCUUAAUUUGUUUAGGUCUUCCAGUUUCUCACAACAAAGCUUUAUGUUUGUUAUGUAAAAGCUGAACCUGAGUGAAAGAAGCCAAUUUGAAGAGUCUACCCUUUAUAGAAUUCUAACUAUGUAACAUUUUAGAAGAGCAAAAAUGCAGAGUCACUAAAACACCAGGAGUUUCCUGAGACUUAGGGAAGGAGAAAGAAUUGCCUCCGGGUUUUAUUGCUGUGAGAGACACCAUGAUCUUGGCAACUCUUAUAAAGAAAAAUAUUUAAUAGGGGCUGGCUUACAGUUUCAGAGGUUCAGUCCAUUUCCCUCAUGGUGGGAAACAGGAUGCAGCAACUGUGCUUCUGGAGAAGGAGCUGAGAAUUCUGCAUUUUGAUCAGCAGGCAGCAGGAAGUGAACUGAGACACUCUUCCUCCAAGACCCUACCUACUCCUACAAGACCACACCUACUAAGAGUGUUGCUCCCUGAGUCUAAGGGGUCCAACUACAUUCAAACCACCACAGGGAUGAAUAGGUGAAGGAGAGUGGGUUUUUAGUGUGGUGAGGCAGUUUGCUGUGAAAGUGUAAGGCAAACACAAUGAUGAUUCAUCAAGAUCUACAACAUGAAGAAUGACACGUCAGUGUGAACUGUGGACUAUAGUGAACAGAACUUCUAAGAGGACCACACAGGGCUGGAUGAGGGUGCAGGAUGGGGAUAUGGUCCUUUCCAUGUUAGCUGUUCAAGUGUCCUAUAGAUCUAAGCUUGUCUUAUAAAAUGUAAUUCCACUAGUUGUUUAAAAAAUAAUGCUAGAUAAUAUUGGCACACAUCUUUAAUCUCAGCACCCGAGAGAUCAGGGGUAGGCAGAAUCUCUGAGUUUGAAGCCAGUUUG